UGUUGUUGAGCGCCGGUGCGGUCCGGCGGCCCCUGAAACGGGCCGCCCGGCAUUUCCCCGGAGCUUCGAUCGCCCUUGCGGCGC
rnacentral:tRNA from 1 species